UCCCCAACAAGGUCAUUGUCCACGUCGGUCUAGGGGAUGGGGCGUGAGAGAAACAGCAGAGGACUGCCAGUUUGAGGAGGUGGAGAGGAACCAGCAGGACGCAAGCCUGAGAGCCGGCCUCCUCGUCCUGCAGCACAAGCCCCAGGGCCACGCAGGGGCGGCUGGCCCGAGGUCACACUGACCCUGACGUCAGGACAAGCACUGGGGCCAGGCCUCUCGGUCCAGGAAUCUCUCCACCCUCUGCCACCUCUCCACAGUAAUUCACUUCACUAAAGGAAGAUGUGCUUCUUCGCUGGAAAAGCAUGAACUACCAGCCAAUUCCUAUGUUGGCAUCAGGAAAAUGGGGAGAGAAUUCUGUGAAGACACAACCUCGCUCCAGCUGAUGAGGUGAAGGCGUCUAUUCAUUUGGCCUGUGGCCACUGAGAUACAAGAAUAGUGCUGAGAUUUGAGUUGAAUAAAUGUUUUCAAUUGAAA